rnacentral:misc_RNA from 1 species
GAUGAAGAACGUAGCGAAAUGCGAUAAGUAAUGUGAAUUGCAGAAUUCAGUGAAUCAUCGAGUCUUUGAACGCACAUUGCGCCCCCUGGUAUUCCGGGGGGCAUGCCUGUCCGAGCGUCAUUGCUGCCCUCAAGCACGGCUUGUGUGUUGGGCCCCCGUCCCCGGUUCUCCCCGGGGACGGGCCCGAAAGGCAGCGGCGGCACCGCGUCCGAUCCUCGAGCGUAUGGGGCUUUGUCACCCGCUCUGUAGGCCCGGCCGGCGCCAGCCGACACCCCAACUUUAUUUUCUAAGGUUGACCUCGGAUCAGGUAGGGAUACCCGCUGAACUUAAGCAUAUCAAAAGCGGAGGA